rnacentral:rRNA from 1 species
AUUGAACGCUGGCGGCAUGCCUUACACAUGCAAGUCGAACGGUAAUGGGCCUUCGGGUGCCGACGAGUGGCGAACGGGUGAGUAAUACAUCGGAACGUGCCCGAUCGUGGGGGAUAACGAGGCGAAAGCUUUGCUAAUACCGCAUACGAUCUACGGAUGAAAGCAGGGGACCGCAAGGCCUUGCGCGGACGGAGCGGCCGAUGGCAGAUUAGGUAGUUGGUGGGAUAAAAGCUUACCAAGCCGACGAUCUGUAGCUGGUCUGAGAGGAUGAUCAGCCACACUGGGACUGAGACACGGCCCAGACUCCUACGGGAGGCAGCAGUGGGGAAUUUUGGACAAUGGGCGCAAGCCUGAUCCAGCCAUGCCGCGUGCAGGAUGAAGGCCUUCGGGUUGUAAACUGCUUUUGUACGGAACGAAAAGCCUUCUUUUAAUACAGGAGGGUCAUGACGGUACCGUAAGAAUAAGCACCGGCUAACUACGUG